rnacentral:lncRNA from 1 species
AUGAAUCGCUGCCCCUACGGGAUCGAAGACACUGGAUGUAUUAGAUUUUCCAUGAGGGCCAUCUGGAAAUGCUCAGGACAAAUUCUGAACGUAAAACUCACAUUGUAUGAUGGAUUGUGACUGCACCUGUCCAACUUUGUAACUUGAUUUCUGAAAAUAUGAUUGGAUCCAGAAAUGGAUGAGAGAUUGCCUUGAAGAUUAAGUGAUUUAAUCACAGGUAUUUACAUUUUAUCUCUUACUAUAUCUUUUUGUUAUAGGUGAAAUUAUGUUUCAUAUUCUUGGACAAAAUUUACAAAUUUUUAGGAUGAAAACUUGUAAAACUAGAGUUCUUUGGAUGAUUUAUGAAAAUUUGAUUUGUAUUAUUACAUACAUAUUUUAAUUCAUAUGUGGUCCAGGCUCAAAACACUGGGCUGAAACAAUCUUCCUGCCUCAGUCUCCCAAGGUUGUUUGAAUAACAGGCAUGUACCUCAGUACCCAGCUAAAAUUCUUUAUUGAUUUUUCACCUUGCUAU